rnacentral:rRNA from 1 species
AUUGAACGCUGGCGGCAUGCCUUACACAUGCAAGUCGAACGGUAACAGGUCUUCGGAUGCUGACGAGUGGCGAACGGGUGAGUAUUACAUCGGAACGUGCCCGAUCGUGGGGGAUAACGAGGCGAAAGCUUUGCUAAUACCGCAUACGAUCUACGGAUGAAAGCGGGGGAUCUUCGGACCUCGCGCGGACGGAGCGGCCGAUGGCAGCUUAGGUAGUUGGUGGGAUAAAAGCUUACCAAGCCGACGAUCUGUAGCUGGUCUGAGAGGAUGAUCAGCCACACUGGGACUGAGACACGGCCCAGACUCCUACGGGAGGCAGCAGUGGGGAAUGUUGGACAAUGGGCGAAAGCCUGAUCCAGCCAUGCCGCGUGCAGGAUGAAGGCCUUCGGGUUGUAAACUGCUUUUGUACGGAACGAAAAGCCUCUUUCUAAUAAAGAGGGGUCAUGACGGUACCGUAAGAAUAAGCACCGGCUAACUACGUG